CGCUCAUUCUUGGCAUUGUAUUACUCCUUACCGGGGUUGGGAUUGCGAUCUUCCAGAGUAUGUCACAGGGCUUCCAACAGCCUGCGGCGUUCACCAUUGUUGCUUUGAUUGGUGCCAUGUUCCUGCUCAUCUUUGUGGUGGCGAUUAUCAGCAUCUUUCUGGGGUUACUGCGGCACUUCUUCUGGCGGGCCUGUGCGCUGGAGAACCUCGGCGUGCGUGAAUCGUUGAGCCGUGGAUUCCAGAUGGCGCGUGAGAAUUGGAAGAACGUCGGAAUUAUGUGGCUGGUGAUGAUUGGGCUGGGAAUUGUCUGGGCGAUUGUGUCUGUCAUCGCCUUCGUCCUGACCCUCCCUGUGGUUUUGGUCACGGCUGUGGCUGGCGCCCUCGUGGCGGUCAUCCCUGCCUUGCUCACGGGCGGACUGACCAGCAUCUUCCUAAACGGCUGGUUACCGUGGAUCGUUGGAGCCGUCUUCGCGCUGCCGCUGUUCCUGGUGGUUGCCUUCUCUCCCUGGCUGUUGCUUGGCAGUUUGCAGACUGUCUUCGCCUCCACCGUAUGGACACUGGUCUACCGCGAAUUGAAAGCUCUGCCUGCGCUGACCCCGCAGAUGGGAGAUGCAACCCCAUUGCCUCCAACAAGUUGAUUUGAGUUGAUUGAAAUAGCAAGGGCGACCUCAGAUGGGUCGCCCUUGUUUUAUUAUUCGUUCGUUUUCAGUUCACCCCUGUCUGUUCUCUUUCAAAAACUUAACCACCUGCUCGUGGACCUCACUGGAUUGCAACGCGCCCCGGUGACCCAUUCCAUCUGUUUCGACCAAACGGGCAUGUUUCCAGGCCUGGGCAAUUGCGCGGCUGUCUUCGACGGGUGUGACAUUGUCAGUCAGGUCAUGGAACAUCAACGCGGGAAUAUCAAUCCGGGGAGUCAACGUCUCAUUGACAAUCGCAUCCAGCACAUCCCGUCCAAAAUUUUCAUGGAUCAUCUCCAGCAAUCCAUGCAUGAUCUCGUCGGGCAAUUUGGCAAUUACUUGAAACCGCGGCAGGGAGUCCAAAAGCCGAUUGAAAGCGCCGAAAUAUAAAAGUUUGGAAGGAGGCGGGAAAUUCCGCUUGACCAGCGCAUACGACGUGAUCAAAGUUCCGAACGAGUGCGCAAUGAUCGCAU
rnacentral:misc_RNA from 1 species